AACGAACGCUGGCGGCGGGCCUAACACAUGCAAGUCGAACGCUCGUAGCAAUACGAGAGUGGCAGACGGGUGAGUAACACGUGGGAACCUUCCCUAUGGUUCGGAAUAGCCCAGGGGAAACUUGGGGUAAUACCGGAUAAGCCCUUCGGGGAAAGAUUUAUCGCCAUUGGAUGGGCCCGCGUCGGAUUAGCUAGUUGGUGGGGUAACGGCCUACCAAGGCGACGAUCCGUAGCUGGUCUGAGAGGAUGAUCAGCCACACUGGGACUGAGACACGGCCCAGACUCCUACGGGAGGCAGCAGUGGGGAAUAUUGGACAAUGGGCGCAAGCCUGAUCCAGCCAUGCCGCGUGAGUGACGAAGGUCUUCGGAUUGUAAAACUCUUUGGCGGGACGAUAAUGACGGUACCCGCAGAAUAA
rnacentral:rRNA from 1 species